GGCCGACUAGCUCAGCUGGUUAGAGCGUCGUGCUAAUAUUCAUACAGAACGCGAAGGUCUUGGGUUCGAUCCCCACGUUGGCCA